GAUGCCCACUUGUGGGUGGAUUAGUGGCGAACGGGUGAGUAACACGUGAGUAACCUGCCCUUAACUCUGGGAUAAGCCUGGGAAACUGGGUCUAAUACCGGAUAUGACUCCUCAUCGCAUGGUGGGGGGUGGAAAGCUUUAUUGUGGUUUUGGAUGGACUCGCGGCCUAUCAGCUUGUUGGUGAGGUAAUGGCUCACCAAGGCGACGACGGGUAGCCGGCCUGAGAGGGUGACCGGCCACACUGGGACUGARACACGGCCCAGACUCCUACGGGAGGCAGCAGUGGGGAAUAUUGCACAAUGGGCGAAAGCCUGAUGCAGCGACGCCGCGUGAGGGAUGACGGCCUUCGGGUUGUAAACCUCUUUCAGUAGGGAAGAAGCGAAAGUGACGGUACCUGCARAARAAGCGCCGGCUAACUACGUGCCAGCAGCCGCGGUAAUACGUAGGGCGCAAGCGUUAUCCGGAAUUAUUGGGCGUAAAGAGCUCGUAGGCGGUUUGUCGCGUCUGCCGUGAAAGUCCGGGGCUCAACUCCGGAUCUGCGGUGGGUACGGGCAGACUAGAGUGAUGUAGGGGAGACUGGAAUUCCUGGUGUAGCGGUGAAAUGCGCAGAUAUCAGGAGGAACACCGAUGGCGAAGGCAGGUCUCUGGGCAUUAACUGACGCUGAGGAGCGAAAGCAUGGGGAGCGAACAGGAUUAGAUACCCUGGUAGUCCAUGCCGUAAACGUUGGGCACUAGGUGUGGGGGACAUUCCACGUUUUCCGCGCCGUAGCUAACGCAUUAAGUGCCCCGCCUGGGGAGUACGGCCGCAAGGCUAAAACUCAAAGGAAUUGACGGGGGCCCGCACAAGCGGCGGAGCAUGCGGAUUAAUUCGAUGCAACGCGAAGAACCUUACCAAGGCUUGACAUGAACCGGAAAUACCUGGAAACAGGUGCCCCGCUUGCGGUCGGUUUACAGGUGGUGCAUGGUUGUCGUCAGCUCGUGUCGUGAGAUGUUGGGUUAAGUCCCGCAACGAGCGCAACCCUCGUUCUAUGUUGCCAGCGCGUUAUGGCGGGGACUCAUAGGAGACUGCCGGGGUCAACUCGGAGGAAGGUGGGGACGACGUCAAAUCAUCAUGCCCCUUAUGUCUUGGGCUUCACGCAUGCUACAAUGGCCGGUACAAAGGGUUGCGAUACUGUGAGGUGGAGCUAAUCCCAAAAAGCCGGUCUCAGUUCGGAUUGGGGUCUGCAACUCGACCCCAUGAAGUCGGAGUCGCUAGUAAUCGCAGAUCAGCAACGCUGCGGUGAAUACGUUCCCGGGCCUUGUACACACCGCCCGUCAAGUCACGAAAGUUGGUAACACCCGAAGCCGGUGGCCUAACCCC
rnacentral:rRNA from 1 species